UUAGUAAUCUGUUCUGGUGGAAAUGAUGGACCUGAACCUUACACUAUUGUCAACUCUGCUCCCUGGAUUUUUACUGUUGCAGCUUCUAAUAUUGAUAGAGACUUCCAAUCAACUGUCCUUCUUGGAAAUGGGAAGGCUUUCCAAGGAUCUGCCAUUAAUUUCUCAAACCUCACUCACUCAAGGACUUAUCCUCUUGUAUUUGGAGAGGAUGCUGCUGCUGCAUUUACC
rnacentral:misc_RNA from 1 species